GCCGGGCAUGGUGGCGGGUGCCUGUAAUCCCAGCUACUUGGGAGACUGAGGCAGAAGAAUUGCUUGAACCUGGGAAGUGGAGGUUGCAGUGAGCCGAUAUCACGCCACUGCACUCCAGCCUGGGUGACAGAGCAAGACUCUGUCUCAA
ensembl:misc_RNA Metazoa_SRP Metazoan signal recognition particle RNA